CGCAGCCGUGGUAAUUCCAGCUCCAAUAGCGUAUAUUAAAGUUGUUGCAGUUAAAAAGCUCGUAGUUGAAUUUCGGGAUCAGUAUGUUGGUCGUGCUUCGGUACGUACUGUCAUUACUGGUUUCUACCUUCUGAAGAACCUUGAUGUCAUUAAUUUGGUGUCUUGGGGAAUCAGGACUGUUACUUUAGAAAAAUUAGAGUGUUUAAAGCAAGCAUACGCUUGAAUACAUUAGCAUGGAAUAAUGAAAUAGGACGUUUGAUUCUAUUUUUGUUGGUUUCUAGGAUCGACGUAAUGAUUAAUAGGGAUAGUUGGGGGCACUAGUAUUCAAUUGUCAGAGGUGAAAUUCUUGGAUUUUAUUGAAGACUAACUACUGCGAAAGCAUUUGCCAAGGAUGUUUUCAUUAAUCAAGAACGAAAGUUAGGGGAUCGAAGACGAUCAGAUACCGUCGUAGUCUUAACCAUAAACCUAUGCCGACUAGGGAUCGGAUGAUGUUAAUUUUUAAUGUACUCA
rnacentral:rRNA from 1 species